UACGGGGGGGGCAAGCGUUGUUCGGAAUUACUGGGCGUAAAGGGCUCGUAGGUGGCCAACUAAGUCAGACGUGAAAUCCCUCGGCUUAACCGGGGAACUGCGUCUGAUACUGGAUGGCUUGAGGUUGGGAGAGGGAUGCGGAAUUCCAGGUGUAGCGGUGAAAUGCGUAGAUAUCUGGAGGAACACCGGUGGCGAAGGCGGCAUCCUGGACCAAUUCUGACGCUGAGGAGCGAAAGCCAGGGAGCAAACGGGG
rnacentral:rRNA from 1 species